rnacentral:lncRNA from 1 species
AGUGAUGUGUCAUCAGUUUAUUUUAAAACAUUGGCUUCUGCCUAUUGCAGCAUAUCUCAACAACACUUUUAUCCUGACUUUGAAAUGAAGAGCUACUCUUCUGGGGUCCAGUCGUCAUUUCUGUGAGAACUGAAACCAAGAUUCAUAACUGAGACGUGUCCCAUCCUUUCUGAAAGGGGUGAUGAACCCCGGGAACCUCAUGCAUUUCCCAUGUGAUCGAUGCUCUAAAUGCAUGGCAAAAUCCUCUUUUUGGCUGCGUGGGUUUGGGCAGAAGACCCUGCGGAAGUGUAUUUCUGGUUUUCCAGCAAGUUCUCCAGAGAUGUACACGACAGUUUAACCCAAAUUCUGCUCAUCGCUAUCAAGAACCUCCUAUGAAAUGAGCCCCGCAUGAGUUUCGUCUCAUUUGGCUAACGAAUUUGCGAGGUGCCUGAUGUUUCCCAGGUGGUGGUGGGGAACCUCGGCUUUUGUUCUCACCUGAAUUUGGAGAAAAUGCUCAACACGUGUUAAAUCAACAUUAGGACUUCAAGCAACACCCAGGUCUGUUCCCGUCUUCUGCAAGGGAAAAAUGUUACUGUGGCCUGCUUAAGUUUUAGUGAUUGCUGUAUGAAAAUCAUAUUAUAAAUUUUUUUUUCCUUUACAAUACAAAGUGUUUUUAAUCAUGAGUGUAUCUCUUCUGUCUCUGUUUUUCUUUUAACUAGAAAUACAUUAAUCUGGGCACUUUGUUUAUAUGUGCUUCCUAGGUGUACUCUGAAGUUCUUUUCCCUCUGGCAAAAGAUCUAUUCG